AGGACGAACGCUGGCGGCGUGCCUAAUACAUGCAAGUCGAGCGAAUCUUUAGGAGCUUGCUCCUAUUGGUUAGCGGCGGACGGGUGAGUAACACGUGGGCAACCUGCCUAUAAGACUGGGAUAACUUCGGGAAACCGGAGCUAAUACCGGAUAAUCCUUUUCCUCACAUGAGGAAAAGCUGAAAGACGGUUUACGCUGUCACUUAUAGAUGGGCCCGCGGCGCAUUAGCUAGUUGGUGAGGUAACGGCUCACCAAGGCAACGAUGCGUAGCCGACCUGAGAGGGUGAUCGGCCACACUGGGACUGAGACACGGCCCAGACUCCUACGGGAGGCAGCAGUAGGGAAUCUUCCACAAUGGACGAAAGUCUGAUGGAGCAACGCCGCGUGAGCGAUGAAGGCCUUCGGGUCGUAAAGCUCUGUUGUUAGGGAAGAACAAGUACCGGAGUAACUGCCGGUACCAUGACGGUACCUAACCAGAAACGCCACGGCUAACUACGUGCCAGCAGCCGG
rnacentral:rRNA from 1 species